AGUGAACGCUGGCGGUAGGCCUAACACAUGCAAGUCGAACGGCAGCACAGUAAUAGCUUGCUCUUACGGGUGGCGAGUGGCGGACGGGUGAGGAAUACACCGGAAUCUACUUUUUCGUGGGGGAUAACGUAGGGAAACUUACGCUAAUACCGCAUACGACAUACGGUUGAAAGCAGGUGAUCUUCGGACCUUGCGCGAUUGAAUGAGCCGAUGUGGGAUUAGCUAGUUGGCGGGGUAAAGGCCCACCAAGGCGACGAUCCGUAGCUUGUCUGAGAGGAUGACCAGCCAAACUGGAACUGAGACACGGUCCAGACUCCUAAGGGAGGCAGCAGUGGGGAAUAUUGGACAAUGGGCGCAAGCCUGAUCCAGCCAUACCGCGUGGGUGAAGAAGGCCUUCGGGUUGUAAAGCUCUUUUGUUGGGAAAGAAAAGCAGCAGGUUAAUACCCCGCUGUUCUGACGGUACCCAAAGAAUAAGCACCGGCUAACUUCGUG
rnacentral:rRNA from 1 species